rnacentral:lncRNA from 1 species
AAGAGAGAGAGAGAGAAGAGAGAGAAUUUCAGGGUUGUAUAGUUUACCGGAGCUGAAAAACGGCGAGAGCAAGACGUACGGUAGAGUAAUCAGAUGGUGGAGUAUUUGAUUAUAACUUUCAUGUUUACUUUCCUAGAUUUAACGAACAACUCUUGACACUGUUGGUGUUUUCUUAGUUUGGGAAACAACAAGGGAAUCCGUGGGUUUUUUAAGAGUUUUCUUACAUUUAGGAAAAUGACUGGAUUUUAGCCAAAACACAGUACUUACUAAGUACUCUUCACUCACCAAAGUGUUUUGGUUAGAAUAGUGAGUAUGCUGGGAGGCUUUUUUGUGCCUUUUUGUUAAGAGGCAUUCUUAGUGCGGGUAAUAUCGAAAGGGCGUGUUGCGGCCUUGAGGCGAUCUCUUGAAGUUGCCAUUACUGUCGCAGGAAUUUUUCCUCACAAAACACCAAAACAGGCAAGUAUGCACCAUUUUUCACACUACAGCACUAAAAACUGUUCCCAUUCCUCUAUUGCUAGUACCACAAAAACAGAAAAUUUUUUUUUAUAUAAGUAAAAGACUCUCAUUAAAAGCGUAAGGCGUCCCUAAGUAUACAAUAAGUAUACAGAAUAAACAUCUAACUAGAAAGAGAACCACUCAAAACAAACUAAGAAAUCACUAUAGUUAAGCAACAAAGGAGAAUCAAACGUGGCUGUCAUUCACCUCUUCAAAAAAAUCAAAGAGAAAACAUCAAAGUCCACCGUUCCACAAAAAAAUAAUAUAUCACUUACAUUCAUCAGGUAUCCCAGUUCCAAAAAAAAGUUGGAAAAAAACAGAAACCCAAAACAAAAGAAUCAAGAACCCAUCAAAGCACAAAACCCAUAGGCAAAAACACAGCGCCGACCACUCAAAUCUCAGAAAAUCAAAUUAUAUAUAUAUAUAUAUAUAGAGGGAGAUAGAUAGAUAGAGAGAGAGAGAGAGAGAGAGAGAGCAUCGAAGACGUACCCUCCACCGACGGAGACGCUCGACGCGCAAUAUCUAAUUCAAAAGCAACAGAGAUGGCACCGUCACACUCUAAUUACGUCUCUUCUCAAUACGCAUCAAAUCCACAAACAAAAUCCCUCUCACAAUCUCAAAAUUCUCAAUUCAGAUUUUCGCUCCCAAAACCAGUUUUCCUUAUCAGAGUACUGUUUUUCUGUCACCUUGUAACCAAACACAAAACUCUUCACCUGCACAAUUUACCUUCCCUUCCUCUUCCUCGUCCCACUUAUUUUUUUGUCUUUUCUCCCCGAGAAACUUCUGGAAAGUCCUAAUGUGAAUUCAAAAAAUUCAAACACUCAUCUUUUUUAGUUUUUUCCCCCGUCAGAUUCACUCUAGCCCUAGAAAACUCUCAGUAACCUAGAAACGAGGCCAAUUAGACACUGUUCGGCUCUCGUAAUAGGCCCAAACAAGCCUCGGGUUGGGUUCAUAUCCGGGUACCGUUUUGGAAGGAUUAAAUUUAAACAAUAAAUAAA